rnacentral:misc_RNA from 2 species
UCCUCCCUCAAACCCCGGGUUUGGUGUUGGACUCAAGUUGUGUGAACAACUGGUCUCAAAGACAAUGACGGCGUCCGUGGGACCCUCGGUGCAACGAGCUUUUAGGAGCACGCAUCGAGUUGCAAGGACCUUCCGGGCCGGUCUUAACCUCUAUCUUCUCA